rnacentral:rRNA from 1 species
CUAAGAAUAUUCCGCAAUGGACGGAAGUCUGACGGAGCGACGCCGCGUGGAUGAAGAAGGCCGAAAGGUUGUAAAGUUCUUUUGCUGGGGAAGAAUAACCGCAGGAGGGAAUGCCUGUGGGAUGACAAGAACCGGCGAAUAAGCCCCGGCCAACUACGUGCCAGCAGCCGCGGUAACACGUAGGGGGCGAGCGUUGUUCGGAAUUACUGGGCGUAAAGGGCAUGUAGGCGGCUUGGAAAGCCUGGCGUGAAAGUCUGCAGCUUAACUGCAGGGGUGCGCUGGGAACUGCUGAGCUUGAGUGACGGAGAGGGUGCUGGAAUUCCUGGUGUAGGGGUGAAAUCUGUAGAUAUCAGGAAGAACACCGAUGGCGAAGGCAAGCUCCUGGCCGAUGACUGACGCUGAGGUGCGAAAGUGUGGGGAUCAAACA